rnacentral:rRNA from 1 species
GGCGGCGGUAACUAUAACCGUCCUAAGGUAGCGAAAUUCCUUGUCUGGUAAGUUCAGACCCGCACGAAUGGAGUAAUCAUUUGGGCACUGUCUCAGCAAAGGACUCGGUGAAAGUGCAUUGGCGGUAAAGAUGCCGUCUGUCCGUACCAGGACGAAAAGACCCCAUGGAGCUUUACUACAGUUUUACAUUGUUUAAGGUUGCAUCAUGUGUAGCAUAGGUGGGAGACUUUGAAGCAGAUACGCUAGUAUUUGUGGAGUCGCCGGUGAAAUACCACCCUUGAUGUGAUUUUGAUCUUACGCUGACCGUUAUCCGGUUAGCGGACCGUGUAUGAUGGGUAGUUUAACUGGGGCGGUUGCCUCCUAAAGAGUAGCGGAGGCGUUCAAAGGUUGGCUAGCUUCGGAUGGAAAUCGAAGUGAUAGUGUAUACGCAUAAGCCAGCUUGACUGUGAGGGUUACAACCCAAUCAGAGACGAAAGUCGGAGUAAGUGAUCCGCUGUACGAACAUUUGUUCAUGAAUGUGGGAUCGACAGCGCAAACGGAUAAAAGUUACCCUGGGGAUAACAGGCUUAUAGCGCCCAAUAGUUCACAUAGACGGCGCUGUUUGGCACCUCGAUGUCGGCUCAUCUCAUCCUGGGGCUGGAGCAGGUCCCAAGGGUCCGGCUGUUCGCCGGUUAAAGAGGUACGCGAGCUGGGUUCAGAACGUCGUGAGACAGUUCGGUUUAUAUCCGGUAUGGACGUCAGGAAAUUUGAGAGGAUUUGCCCCUAGUACGAGAGGACCGGGGUGAACGUACCUCUGGUGUAUCGAUUGUGGCCACCUGCUGCAUCGUCGAGUAGCUAAGUACGGACUAGAUAAGCGCUGAAAGCAUAUUAAGCGCGAAACUAACCUCAAGAUUAGAUUUCCCUAUGAGGACACAGAAAGACUAUCUGUUUGAUAGGCGCAAGGUGGAAGUGCAGUAAUGUAUGGAGCUGAAGCGUACUAAUAGUCCCAUCGCCUUUUUAUG